UACGUAGGGGGCGAGCGUUGUCCGGAGUUACUGGGCGUAAAGGGCGCGCAGGCGGUCUGGCAAGUUUGGAGUGACAGUGCUCGGCUUAACUGAGCAAGGCCUUCAAAAACUGCUGGACUUGAGCACUCAAGAGGGACAUAGAAUUCCGGGUGGAGUGGUGAAAUGCGUAGAAUAUCCGGAGGAAUACCAAAGGCGAAGGCAGUGUCCUGGGGAGUGUCUGACGCUCAGGCGCGAAAGCUAGGGGAGCGAACAGG
rnacentral:rRNA from 1 species